GACCGGAAGCAAGUCAGAUCAGCGCUGAUCUGGCGCGAGGGAGAGCCGGGUGAAGCAGCGAGACCCAAACAAGUAAAAACUUCUAAAGUUUGGGAGCAUUUUCAGUUAAAUCAGGCGAAGACAUUCGUUACCUGCAACGUUUGUAGGUCAGACUUAGCAUGGCACGGGAGUACUAGGUGAAGCAGCAUCUUAAAAGGAAGCAUGCCGAAUCAGCGAGGAAGGAGAGAGCUCUGUGUCCGGGCAGAACGAUGCCAAGUUUAUUUAAUGAAGGAGGAAACUGACAUCAACAAUUCACGACUAGCACAAGUCUCCAAAUCAGGAUUUUGGGAUUAACUGGCACCAUUAAAGUCUGCAGAAUCUGAAGACCUCUCAGAUUUUUAAGCUUUAGUCUCCAGUCGUGUGAGUUCACUUCAUAUGUUUUGCUGUUACUUGGCUUUUGCUCCAGUCCAGGGAUUUGUUUGAACCACUGUAGUGAGUUCAUGGCCCUCAUUACAUCUCCACUGUAUUUGCCUGGGCUUUUCAUUUAUUUCCCCACACUUUUCUCCAAAAACAUCCAUUAUUGUGUCUCGGGGUAACUUUUAGAUGCUACUUCCAUUUCUUGGAGGUUAAGCUGAGGGUCCUCUCUUGUAGAUGUCUGGCUGCUGUGUUACUUUUUCCUAAAAGAAACUAAAUUUGACCCACCUCUGUCCCUUUUUCCCCAUUUGUCCCUCCCAGCAGCUAGAGAACUUUGUUAGCAUUAUGUUGAGAGCUGUGGACAGAGAUAGUGGAAAAGUACUAUUUAUGUUACAGAACAACUGAAGAUUUAAUACCAGUGACCUGCUCUGAUUCUCUUUAGCAAUAAACAUAUGCUCAUACAUAACAGUCAAUAAUUCUUGCCUCGCCUGCUCAAAAGGGCUCAAAAGACUUUCUUGCUAUUCUUGGUCAGUAAAUCUGUAUGUUCUAUUCUAAUGAAGUUGAAAUGAACACAAAUUAGUGAACAGAGAGGUGGGAGUGACGGGAAAGAAACUGACAUUUUAAGCUAAGGAAAUUAACAAUCCACUCUCUGAUGCACAUGUGCGUGUGCGCGCACGCUCAUGACUUGCAGUUAGGUUAUUUUGUUUGGGAGAUUGCAAAAAAAAAAAGUAUAUAUGUACGUGAAGAGGUUACUUACUUACAUAUUCCUCCCUGAUAAAGCCUUGUAUGACCGUCUUCACCACUCUCUCUUUAUGCUGCUCUCCCCACCUAUUCCACCUUCCUCU